AGAAAUGCUGGUAGCAUCACCAAUAACGUCGCGUACAUGCAUAUAUGUGUUUAGGCGGCCUCGCGACCGGAUGUGUCGCAUGAAUAUAGCACUGGAAGGUAACGUACAAUAAAUGAUAAGGCACUUCCUUUUUCGACAUAGCGGGCGUUUACGCUUUGUUUACCAAUACUGUGACUGAGCGGAGGACAGAAAUAGGCUUACGCAGCUAUGGCUUAACGGGGCAAACGUCGACAGUCUAUAUUGAUGAAAACCUCCGUCUCUAUGAAUCUGGACGGCAACCGAACGCUUAUUGGUGGAGCGGUGAAACUUGAAGCGUUUAUUGCAUACGCACGAAACAAUUGUAAAGCAUACCGUUGCGUGCACCCAGACAGUGUCACCAAGCCAGUUAGAA